UGCAGUUGGAGGGGUCUUUUUGCGCAUGUUUAGUUGUUCGUUCGCUUUGACGCCAUCAUGUCCAACAAGGUAGUUUGAACCCGAUUUGAAGACCAAGUCAAUGAUAACCAACCCAGGACACUGUACGUUGGAAAUUUGGAUCCAUCGGUGACGGAAGAACUUAUCUUAGCACUUUUUGGACAGAUAGGACCUGUCAAAGGUUGCAAAAUCAUCCACGAG